UCAAAUCACAUCAUCGGCAACCCACUUCCCCACCGACGCAAACACACCCAUCCCGCAGCCACUCUCCCUCACCCGUUUACAUCGAUUUUGAUUGUUUCUCAAGUUUUUAUCACCACAUUUAGGGACUUUGAAAGCUUAAUUUUUCUCGGUAGAAGUUUCAGCAGCAGUUGCGGCUCUCCAGCGGCGUAGAGCACAAACUCUUUGUUGGAAUGCUUACCAAAAAACGUUUCUGAUGAUGAGAUAUUUGCUAUAUUUUUGGAGUCUGAAACCAUAACAGAUUUUUGAAUUCUUAGAGUUUCCCCGCAAACAAGCAAAUGUUGUGCUUUUUUGAAAUUUGAGACAAAAGAUCAAGCACUGGCAGCUAUAGAAGUCCUCAACGGAAAGCAUAGCAUGGAUGGUUCGACUAUACCUUUGGUGGUCAAGUGGGCAGAUACAGAGAAGGAAAGACAGGCUCAGAGGGCACAAAAGGCAUGGUCGUUGGCCUCUAAUGUGCCAAAUAUUGAUUCCAUGCAGCAGGCAUCGUUAUUUGGUGCCUUGCCAAUGGGUUAUAUGCCUUCAAUUGAAGUGAUUAUUCCGAACAGAUAGCUAGCAACAUAAAUUCUUUGGCUGCUGCGAUCAAAUAAGAGAAUUGAGUUCCAUGAUGUCUGUGAUUAUUAUUGGAUUAUUAUGCAUGAGAUCAAUAGGUACUUCAAGUACCAACUUUAUUGGGUGUUUAAUUUAAAGAGAUACCUAAUGAAACAAUAUCAAAAUGUAGUUCUUGUGUACCAAAUUUAAUGCUUUUGUGCGAAAGGCAUGUAUCACCUAGUUUUUAUAUAUAUUAUAUAUAUUUUCUUUUUUCAU